rnacentral:rRNA from 1 species
GACGAACGCUGGCGGCGUGCCUAAUACAUGCAAGUUGAGCGCUGAAGGUUGGUACUUGUACCGACUGGAUGAGCAGCGAACGGGUGAGUAACGCGUGGGGAAUCUGCCUUUGAGCGGGGGAUAACAUUUGGAAACGAAUGCUAAUACCGCAUAAAAACUUUAAACACAAGUUUUAAGUUUGAAAGAUGCAAUUGCAUCACUCAAAGAUGAUCCCGCGUUGUAUUAGCUAGUUGGUGAGGUAAAGGCUCACCAAGGCGAUGAUACAUAGCCGACCUGAGAGGGUGAUCGGCCACAUUGGGACAGAGACACGGCCCAAACUCCUACGGGAGGCAGCGGUAGGGAAUCUUCGGCAAUGGACGAAAGUCUGACCGAGCAACGCCGCGUGAGUGAAGAAGGUUUUCGGAUCGUAAAACUCUGUUGGUAGAGAAGAACGUUGGUGAGAGUGGAAAGCUCAUCAAGUGACGGUAACUACCCAGAAAGGGACGGCUAACUACGUGCCAGCCGCCGCCGUAACAC